UGGCUGGGAUUAAGACGCCUGCAGGGAAGCGAUGGGUUCUCAGACUUUCCUACCAUUGCUAACCGCGUAAGCAGAGCGGGGAAGGGAGAAAAACGGCCACAAGAUCUUCAGCUCUCCUUUCAACCCCUCUCUGGAAAGCAUUGACUCCUUCCUGAGGAAUGUAGCUCCCAAUCACACUCCAAUACUUCACACAGGCAAACAGCAGCUCAUACCUCAACCGUCACUCAUGAAAAAGAACUGAAAUCAAAUCUAUGCUGCUACACUGUCGGUGAAAAUGUUCCUGCAAUAUGAGCAGUCAUCGUACAACCCCCUUUAUCCUUU